ensembl:lncRNA
GUUACUCCGUGUGACUGCGGAAAGAGACUCCCAAACUGUUGAGACCACAGUGGCUGCCUCUGGAGAGAAAGAACAAGUGACCACCACCCAAAACCUAUGCAAAGAGUAAGGAUAGUGAAAGCCCAUCCUGCUGGGUGAAGGCACAUCAUUCAUUCCCACCUCCAGCCCUUCGGACAGCAGCACACACAGCAGGAAUUCAGGACAACAGAGAGGAAGCUUGAAUAGUGGAAUACAGAUUGGACCAGAGAAGAGUCACAGGUGGGAAGGAGGUGCCGGAGAGUUCCGACUCAUCCCCAGCUGGGAUCUGCUGGCCCUAUCUGAGGCCUGGUCUCCAUUGAAACCACUGCUCCCAACAGCGUCAUCUCCAAUAAAGGCUGAUCAUCUUCCAGGCCCAAUACAGCUUUCUUGAGAACAACUUGACCCUCUCGAGGUGUUCAGACCACCUUACCUGAGGGGUCUCAGGUAAAUAGGUUAAUUGCACCUUCCAUCCCUGCUGCCUCUUCCCAUCCAACAGCCCCCCUGGUCAUUCCAGCACACUCCCUCUCUACUGCAGUCCCCUGUUACCUGGAAGAAGCUUCGCCAUGCCCAUGAACAGCCCUCCUACACCUGUCUCCCCAAAUCCCUGUCUCCCCAAAUCUUCAUCAUUUUUCCUCACUCUCAU